UUACACAAGGAAUGCAAUUAAAAAUGGUCUGAGAUUAUAUCAAAUCAAUCUUGUUUCUGGAAAAAGGAUUCACUGAAGGGAUAAUCAAAGACCAACGUAUGUAGAAUGGUAAAUUAUGAAUCAGUUCAACCCAGGCCAGCAUGAAGAAAUGCAUAAAAUACAAUGCUUCCACUAGGGCAGAUGCCUUGGAAAAAAAAAAAAUCACCCAGUGCACGCGGUAAAGUGGCUGGUGUUAGGGAAGGGCAUCUAGCUGUAGAAAUCAUGCUAAACCAGACAAGUGGGGUUUGGUGCAGCCCUUUAGCUUUUUAGGUCCUACUGAACCGUCCAACUCAUGCCAGCAUGGAAAAACAUGUUAAAUGGCGAUGGCUACGAUGAUUUU